UCUCUAAAAGGGUCGGAUGCAUCACCAACUCCCUCCCCUGUUCUUGGCUGCUCCUAAUUUAUAGCUCAAAUAUAUCUGCAGCUAUUCGAUUCUUCUUCGGUCCCCCCCGCCCCACCUCUUCAGUUUCUCCAUUAAAAUGAAUAUAUUCUAAGCGGAUAAAUUUCAUCAAAUAUCUCUCAACUAGUGAACAUAUUCACCCUUCGUGCGAUUCUCAAUAUUUCUUCUUCUUCAUCUUCUUCUUCUGUUUCUGUUUUUUCUUUUCAUAAAAAAAUGAUAAAAAAAAAUUAUUGUUGAUUGAUAAAGUAAAUGUAUAUAUAUUAGUGCCUGUAGCUUUACAACAUUUAUUUCUAUAAGAAAACGAGUUUUUACAAAUAACUGCACACAUACACGCGCACACACAAAAAAUUAACAUGCUAAUAAUUACUAGUUUGUCUAACCUCCGUUCUUUUUAAAUAGAUUAUCUGAAAGCAAAAUCAAGAGGUGAUAAAAAUACCAGACAAUUUGACAAAUGAAAGAACAAAAAAGAAAAAAAAAGAAAAAUAAUUUCUCUUUCCAAAGUUGAUAACCCCCGAAACAUACAUCAUUUAUCUUACCAAAUUCAACAUUAUAUUUUAUCAAUAUACGCACCUAAAAGGAACAAUAUCAACAAGAACAUAUUUAAUGUAUUUUCACAAAGUGGGGUCUAGGAAGGAUAAAGUGUACGCAAUUCAUAGCACUACUUCAGAUGAUGUACAGAGACUAUUUUUGAUAGACACUCAACUUAGGAUAUAUAACAGUAUAAUAAAUAAAAAUAUAAGAAUAAACAACAAAAUGAGAUAACACACCACUAGAUAAUAAAAGAAACAAGACAUCGACAGAGUAACUCUACAAACUAUAUAUUCAAACUAACAAAUAUCAUCAGAAUACUACGAACAAAAAACUAUAAAAAAAAAAAAAAGGAAGGAAAAGAAAGGAAAAAUCAAAAGAAAGAAAGAAAAUAUAGUGAAACCAAAAACCAAAACAAUAAGAACAUAAUUUUUUGGGGUUUGGUAUAUCUUUGUUCUGGCUCUCUCCUAUCUCCAUUCUCUUCUCUAUUUUUGUUUCAUUUUAAAAUUAGAGAAAAAACUCAAAAAAAUCACACACACAAAAAAUAAUUCUACGCUUUAGAGAGCAUCACAUAAAUGGCUCUAUGAUUCUCUAAUAAAGUGAAUCUCUCCCACUUCAUCUUCAAUUUCUCCAUUGAAAUUUCAUCCGAUUCAUUGUAACUCCCAAAUGUCAAUUUACUGAUAAUCCCUUAUUUUACAUAUCAUUCCUUAUUUUUCUCAAAAGAAAUUGAAUUCGACAGCGGUCCCAACGAAAUGAAAUUGUUACUAAAAAGAAUCAAUGAAGGUUAAGAAGAGUAGUGUGUCGUUGAUUUCAUGAGGUAUCCACCAUUAGUGGUGGGAUGGUAGUGUUGUAGAUGAAAGAUAAGGUCUUACCAGUUUUUGACUCUAUAGUGAUGCGUUUGAAAUUAUUAUAACAACUUACAAUCUAAGGUACAAUAAUAAUGUAUUUGAUUGAGAUUUAAAGUCGUGAUAUAUAGAUAUUUGUGUAUCAAAAAAUGCAAAAUAAAAAGGGGGAUAUUGUGGCUAAAAGAAGCAAAGGAGUUGAAGUUAUAUCGACUUCGAGGGAUCCCCUUAAGAAGAUAAUAAAGAUAGGUAUCAGAAGACGCAAAAAAAAUAAAAUCGAAUGUUGCAGCUAAAAAACCAAAAGAGUAGAAGAUACAUCAAGGAUCCCAUUAAGAAUAUAAUAAAGCUAUGUCUUUGAGUCAUUUCCAUUGUAUUAUUUCCAUGUUACUGAUACAUAGACAUAUAUAUGUGACUAAACUUAUGUAUCUGACUAAUAUUCAUGUUACUGAGACAUAUAAUCAUGUUCAUGAUAUAUUACGCUUUUACCUAUGAAUCUGCAAUUAAUUAUGUAUCAUGUAUUAAUUUUGGUCAUAAUACAUUGUAAUACAUCUCAUAUUACACAUUAUGUAUUUGUAGCAGGCUACAUACAUAUAUUUCUGCUAUUUUUAUAUUAAAUUCAUUUGAGAUGUUCAUGAUGUAUCGGGAAAACAAAAAUCGAAAUUAAAAAUAGAGAUGAAAGAAAUUGGAAAGAAUUUACAUGAGCUAGCUUGAUUUGGUAUUUAAAAUUUAAAUUUUUGAAUUUGUUAUGUGUUAUUAGAGAUACAACAGCCGUCAUUAAAAUGUGACCGCGUGACUUGCUCGGCAAUUGAUUAUAUUUCCGCUAUUUUUCUUAUUAAAUUCAAUUGAUUGUUUAGUUAUGUAUCAAAAAUGUGAUGUAUUCAAAGCAAUAUGAUAUAUUCGAAAUCUCAAAAUUAGAAAUUUUAUAUAAUUUUGAAAAGAGUCAAAAUAAAGAGUAAUUAACUACUAAAGAGUUGAGGUUUAUGAACCUUGCUCUAAUAAAAAUUGGGCUAGUUGAAUUUUGACCCGCAUUUUGAUCCAUUCCAAUCUAACUCAUUUCAGCCUAAGUAACUUUUUGACAGAUUAAUAAUUCGUCUAUUUAUUAACUCAAUUCAUCUUGACCUGUAUAAAUCCGGCCAUUUAUCACCUUUAGAUUGUACUAUUCCCUUGUUUAAGAAAUAUAAUAAUUUCCUUUUUCUAUAUCUUUAUCAUGCUAUUUAAAAGCAUAAUUUGUUUUUUCUUAAACUCUCUCUAUUAUAUUUCUACCUUAUGCCUCUGUCCUCUAAUCAAGGUGAAUACAGUACUUAGCUUUUGUCAGUUAGUUACAACCAUUGCCAAACACCACUUUUCCCAGAUUUUACGUUUAGCCAAAGAUAAAAGAAUGUUUAGAUAUUUGUUGAAAAAAAGGACAUAUUAUUACACAAUAAACUUACAAACAAACAUACAAAUUGCCUCAAGGUACUGUACAAAGGUAGAAAUACAUGAGAAACAGCAAGACCCAGAAGGUUCAUGGCUACCACGAACUCGAAAUUCCUAACAUUAGCAAGACCAUUUAGAGAUAGAGGCAAGUUAGGAGCACCUUAAAAAAAUUCAUUAUCAAGUAGAGUUACGUUCACUUGUUCAUAUGUUGGAAGACAAUAGAAAAGAAAUUUGUCGACAGAAUCAGAAUGAAAUAUCACCAUAAAAGAGGUAUAAUAUCAAAAAUAAAAACAUUUUCACAUAUGCUCCCCACUAUGCACAGGAGCAUAUAUGUUCUUUUUUUUCCUCAAGUAAAAUAUUAAACUAUGUUCUCUUAUUCUUUUUUUCAAUUAAAGUUUGUCAAUUUCUUGAUAUUGUAAACAAAUUUCUUGAUAUUGAAAUAUGCACACAUUUUUUGGUACCUUUAUUUUGCAGAAAUUGGAAAUAUAAUUUAAGCUUGGGAAAUAAUAUAUAUAUAUAUUUACCUUGUUCACAAAAAAACACAUCUUCACCCAGACAAAAUUCCCAGAUGAUAUUUUCUGUAUCGUAUGUCCUGUGUUCAAAGAUCGCCUUCUC
rnacentral:lncRNA from 1 species